GUGGUAGAGCACUUGCUUAGCAUGUGUGAGGCACUGGAUUCGAUCCUCAGCACCACAUAAAAAUAAACAAAAUAAAAAAAUCAUAAAGACAUUUUUUAAAAAAUGUGGGUACCAGACAAUUUAAAAUCACACAGGCAGCUCGCAUAUCUGACUCACUUUUCAUUUUUGCAGACAGACAUUAUUUUUUCUUGUGAUGUCAGCUUCAUAGGUUGUUACCAGAGCGCAAAGUUACACAGGGUCCAGUGUCCAGAAGGUUCUCGUAACUUGGUUUAAUUCUGCUGUCAUUGUCUUGAAAUUCUUUAUCUUUGAAUUUCAGUUUUAUAGUGAAUUCUCAAAGGACAAUGGAGCAUGCGCCAGGGCUUGCAGUCCAGGCUCUUGCACUAUCGGCCUCCUCAGGCUGCCUCCAGAGGAUUGCUUCCCAGCACUUAUAUGUCCCUGACCCUGCAACUGCUGCCAGGCAUUAAGUAACAAAAUGCACAAUGACAAAUCAAGAGAGAGAUGGCUGGAGGAAGGAAAAUGCUUUUUCUUGCCUUUUGGGCAAGGGGCCCUGCAUCUUCAUUUUAACUGGGCUCAUGAAUUACACAGCCAAUCCUACUUCAAGUUCCAGGCUCUGGCCGUUCUUUCUGUUUGUCAAGCUAAGAGGCCAGACACAAAGGACCACAUAUAGUAUGAUUCCUUUUAUGUGCAAUAUCCAGAAGAGACAAAUCCUUAGAGAAUAAAACAGAUCAGUGACUGGCAACAGUGGAAA